ACGGGCCCGACUCCUACGGGAGGCAGCAGUAAGGAAUAUUGGUCAAUGGACGAAA
rnacentral:rRNA from 1 species